GGAAUAUCAUAUUUAAUGUUAUGAACCAACGAGUGGGUGUCACUCAUACACACGAAACGAAUUUGGUUAUCAUUCGGUGGUUUAGCGGGCCGCCGUUGGAUUAUCACUUAAAGGAUGCACUAAAAUAUUACUCAUAUUCCUUUAAAUAGGUCGCUUUCUUUAUUUCUCACGGUUCAUUUUAGAUAAGUACGCGUGAAAAGCGACUUUUCUGUUAUAUUUCGAGGAAUUUAUCGAGUAAAUCAAGCCAUAUUAUCACAAAACAAAUAAUCACGUACAAUCGAUAUGAUCGUUUUUUUUUUUUGAGGUUAGAAUGUGCUCAUCAAUCUCAUUAUUUUUUAUUUCAAGUUGUUUUGUAAUUCUUUUAUGACGUCAAAAUCUAAAUAAAAGUGGGUUAUUUUUAGAA